rnacentral:rRNA from 1 species
UACAGAGGUCUCAAGCGUUGUUCGGAUUCAUUGGGCGUAAAGGGUGUGUAGGUGGCGCCGUAAGUCGGGUGUGAAAUUUCGGAGCUUAACUCCGAAACUGCAUUCGAUACUGCGGUGCUUGAGGACUGGAGAGGAGACUGGAAUUCAUGGUGUAGCAGUGAAAUGCGUAGAGAUCAUGAGGAAGACCAGUGGCGAAGGCGGGUCUCUGGACAGUUCCUGACACUGAGGAGCGAAAGCUAGGGGAGCGAACUGG